UUUUUUGAGAGUUUGAUCCUAGCUCAGGAUGAACGCUCGCUGUGUGCCUAAUACAUGCAUGUUGAACGGGAUGUAGCAAUACAUUCAGUAGCGAAUGGGUGAGUAACACGUACCUAACCUACCUUUAAGACUGGGAUAACUAUUGGAAACAAUAGCUAAUACCGGAUAUAGUUAUUUAUCGCAUGAUGAGUAAUAGAAAGGAGCUUCACAGCUUCACUUAAAAAUGGGGGUGCGGAACAUUAGUUAGUUGGUAGGGUAAUGGCCUACCAAGACGAUGAUGUUUAGCCGGGCCGAGAGGCUGUACGGCCACACUGGGACUGAGAUACGGCCCAGACUCCUACGGGAGGCAGCAGUAAGGAAUUUUCCACAAUGAGCGAAAGCUUGAUGGAGCGACACAGCGUGCAGGAUGAAGUUCUUCGGAAUGUAAACUGCUGUUAUAAGGGAAGAAAAAAUAGAAUAGGAAAUGAUUUUAUCUUGACGGUACCUUAUUAGAAAGCGACGGCAAACUAUGUGCCAGCAGCCGCGGUAAUACAUAGGUCGCAAGCGUUAUCCGGAAUUAUUGGGCGUAAAGCGUCCGUAGGUUUUUUGCUAAGUCUGGAGUUAAAUGCUGAAGCUCAACUUCAGUCCGCUUUGGAUACUGGCAAAAUAGAAUUAUAAAGAGGUUAGCGGAAUUCCUAGUGAAGCGGUGGAAUGCGUAGAUAUUAGGAAGAACACCAAUAGGCGAAGGCAGCUAACUGGUUAUAUAUUGACACUAAGGGACGAAAGCGUGGGGAGCAAACAGGAUUAGAUACCCUGGUAGUCCACGCCGUAAACGAUGAUCA
rnacentral:rRNA from 1 species